rnacentral:rRNA from 1 species
GCAACUCGCCUGCAUGAAGUCGGAAUUGCUAGUAAUCGCAGAUCAGCAUGCUGCGGUGAAUACGUUCCCGGGCCUUGUACACACCGCCCGUCACACCAUGGGAGUCGGUAACACCCGAAGUCGGUAGUCUAACCGAAAGGAGGACGCCGCCGAAGGUGGGAUUGAUGACUGGGGUGAAGUCGUAACAAGGUAAC